CGUGUUGACCGUUAAGAAAAAAGUGAAAAACAUAAUAAUUUAUUACAUUUAGCUUAUUUUGGUAACUUUUUAAAUAGGUUAUUUUUUUUAAUUUUGUGACUUAUUUUGGUUACGAGUUUGCUCUUUUGUAUGCUAUGAAUAUAGAUAUGUUUCUCACAAGAAUAAUCUGGGCGUGGUCCUGGUCCUGGUGGGGGGCGGGGAGGGGGGCCUGUACCUGGGCGUGAUCCCGGGUCCAGGCGGGAGGCGGCGAGUAAAGAUGCUAGUUUCUGCAUGUUCAAUUGUUUAGUUUGUAGAUUUCACACUUAUUUUACCGUAUACAGUUGAACAAAAAGGCAAAGGAAAAAUGAUAUUGCUAAAUGAUCAUUAUCAGACUGCUAAAUGAUGGAUCUAUUUAGAUAUUGCAUUGGAGCAUUGAGGGUUGCUUUCUUCUUAUUGCUUUAUAAGUUUAUCCUACUCUCUAUUGCGAUUUUAAAUGCCACCAAAUACACCUUAUUUAUCUUGUUGCUUGGGCUAUAACUUUUUCAAAGUUGUCAAGAUAAUGAUCCAACACCCAGAGCAAAUCUCGAAGUGCCCAAAAAGGAGAGGAAAACACUGCCAUGCUAUAAACAAAAUGCUAGCUUCUCGUGAAAACAUAAAGCAUAUGAACUCUGCUUGACGUAUCUUUCUUCUUUUGAUGAUUUCGUGUGAUGACUUUUAGAUUACAAGCUGUAUUGCUGCUCUCAAAUCGAGAAUAGGUUAUUCCAUAAUUCCACAUCUCAUAUUAGGUGGACUUUUGCAUCAUAUUCCUGAGCUCUUUUGUAUGCUAUGAAUAUAGAUAUGUUUUCUCAUAAGAAUAAUCUACCUUUAACUGUCGUCUAUAUUUGGGAUUUUCAAAGCAAAUGCAAAGUAGGCAUAUAUUCUUAGCCAUCUGGAUAUGGUUUUCCAGCAUGAUUUGUCUAUAAGGUGUGGUGAAAGAUCAUGAAAUGUGGCUGAAGCGAACACAAAUAUGAAAUGGCUGAAGCAAACGAAGUAACUGAAAUAAAGUAGGUGAAGCAAAGUGCUAAAAGUUUCUAAUGUAGCUGCAAAAAGAUGCAUAAGACGGUUCUAAAAGGAGGAAGAGGAAUACUUAGUUCUUACUGGUGGCCGCCGUCUCUCAGCACCACUACUCGCGAAGGGAAGGGAGAAGAUGGAGAGAGUUGUUUCUGAUGAAGACAGUAGUGAGGAUGAUAAAUAAAACCAGACAGUAAGUAAUCUGAAGAUUGGAUUGAAGGAAUCUGGCUUGACCGUCUGUUAUAUGUCCUGAAGUUCGAGGAAGUACAAAAAAAUAUAGAAAUAGCAUCAAUUAUAAUAAUUUUUGUCAGGAAUACUUUGAAUUUGAUUGCUUAAAUUUCAUCACAAUAUCUUGGAGUAAAGUACACCUGCAAUGUUAGGUCCACGAAAAUAUCGGACUAUAUUGAGUCAGUUGUAAAAUCUAAUGAAUAAUACUUACAUGAUAUGCCUAUUGACUACUUCCCAACUUUCUUAUCUAAUUGUCCUACUAGCAUUUGAACCCCGGGGAAUGCACUAAUUAAAUUAGUAAUGCAGAUCAUUUUAAGAUCUUAUACCAUUCCUAGAAUCUAAUAUUUUAAGUUACAAUUAUAAUAUGAUUUAUUUAGUUGUACUUGAAAAAAAGAUAUACUUGACCAAUGAUUUGUUGCUUGAUUUCUGUUGAUUUUUUCUCUAAUAUCACUAACAAUAUUCUUCUCUCUGAGCAGAUGAGGCAACCUGGCAGGGUUAUUGUACAUCGCGUUCGCUCCAAAACAAAAAUUAAAAUAUUCCCAGCUUUUCCAUGCUUCCAUACACAUUAAAAAAUUUAAUAGAAAACGAUUAAAAAUGCGCUUAAACUAUGUGAAAUUGAGCAUGAAUGUCAUUAGUUAAUAAUUUGGUCAAAAGAUGCGUCUAGGUCCAAAAAUGACCCUCUUGUUACGGUGUAUUAUUUGGUACUAAGUUCUUUUCUGUUGUUUCUUUGUUACGCCAUUGUAGAGCUGACCUGCUAGCUAACUUUUUUCAUAUUACACAUCAGAAGUAUUACAAAAAGACUCAAUCAAUUCAAGAAACGUAGACAACAAACUAAACAACCUAAGGGAGAAUUAAAUUAUAUAUUAGAUGAGGAACUCAUCAUUUUCCUCUGUAAUUAUGCCGUUGGAUGACGAUGAGAUGAUGGAGAUUGAAGAAGCAAACGAACCACAAGGCCGCUAUGGUAUAGUAUAUGCUCAUCUGUCUUGGAAGGAUGUUAAUGUAAUGGUCACUCUGAAUAAUGGAGAUACAAGAAAUGUUUUAGGAGGACUUACUGGUUAUGCAGAGCCUGGAACUUUCACUGCCUUAAUGGGCCCUUCUGGCUCUGGUAAAUCUACGCUUCUUGACGCCCUGGACGUCUUGCUUUACGCUUCUUGACGCCCUGGACGUCUUGCUUCUAAUGCUAUUCUCUCUGGAAAUGUUCUCCUCAACGGUCCCAAACAGAGAAAACGCAGAGUCCAACUGCAUAUGUAACACAAGAUGAUACGUUGAUUGGAACGCUAACGGUUCGGGAGAUGGUUUACUAUUCAUCUCAAUUGCGUCUCCCUGAUAGGAUGCCAUUUUAGGAGAAAUGAACUCUGGUUGAGAGCACGAUUAUUGAAAUGGGCCUACAAGAUUGUGCUGAUACGUUUAUUGGGAAUUGGCACUUGCGCGGUAUUAGUGGAGGAGAAAAGAGGAGAGUUAGUAUUGCUCUUGAGAUUCUUAUGAAGCCUAGAUUGCUCUUCCUUGAUGAACCAACAAGUGGACUAGACAGUUCCUCAGCGUUCUUCGUAACAGACACUGUGUGGUCUGUCCAGAGAUGGACGGACUGUGAUAGCGUCAAUUCACCAGCCAAGCAGUG